UGGCAGACGGGUGAGUAACACGUGGGAAUCUUCCUAUCGGUGCGGAAUAGCUCAGGGAAACUUGGGGUAAUACCGCAUACGCCCUCCGGGGGAAAGAUUUAUCGCCGAUAGAUGAGCCCGCGUCUGAUUAGCUAGUUGGUGAGGUAAUGGCUCACCAAGGCGACGAUCAGUAGCUGGUCUGAGAGGAUGAUCAGCCACACUGGGACUGAGACACGGCCCAG
rnacentral:rRNA from 1 species